AAUCCAUGUGUCAAGCAUUUUCAAAUUAAAUCUUUAAAUCGUUCCCAAGCUUCAUAUAGCAUUUCCUUCUCUAGUUGCAAAAAAGAUGUGAUGUCAUUUUUAAGCUU
rnacentral:snoRNA from 1 species